UACAGAGGUCUCAAGCGUUGUUCGGAUUCAUUGGGCGUAAAGGGUGUGUAGGUGGCGCGCUAAGUCGGGUGUGAAAUUUCGGAGCUUAACUCCGAAACUGCAUUCGAUACUGGCGUGCUUGAGGACUGGAGAGGAGACUGGAAUUUACGGUGUAGCAGUGAAAUGCGUAGAUAUCAUAAGGAAGACCAGUGGCGAAGGCGGGUCUCUGGACAGUUCCUGACACUGAGACACGAAGGCCAGGGGAGCAAACGGG
rnacentral:rRNA from 1 species